AGUGCUAUAGCUGGAUCAAAUGGUGGUUCCAUUUCAGGUUUUCUAAGGAAUCUUCAUACUAUUUUCCAGAGUGGUUGCACCAAUUUGUAGUCCCACCAGCAAU
rnacentral:pre_miRNA from 1 species